UACGAAGGGUGCGAGCGUUAAUCGGAAUGACUGGGCGUAAAGGGUGCGUAGGCGGUUUGCUAAGACGGAUGUGAAAUCCCUGGGCUCAACCCAGAGCCUGCAGGCGAAACUGUGGUGCUGGAGUAUGGGAGAGGUGCGUGGAAUUCCCGGUGUAGCGGUGAAAUGCGUAGAUAUCGGAAGGAACACCUGUGGCGAAAGCGGCUCACUGGACCAUUACUGACGCUGAUGCACGAAAGCUAGGGGAGCAAACAGG
rnacentral:rRNA from 1 species